rnacentral:rRNA from 1 species
UAAUACGUAGGGGGCAAGCGUUGUCCGGAAUCAUUGGGCGUAAAGAGCGUGUAGGCGGUCCUGUAAGUCCGCUGUGAAAGUCAAGGGCUCAACCCUUGAAUGCCGGUGGAUACUGCAGGACUAGAGUCCGGAAGAGGCGAGUGGAAUUCCUGGUGUAGCGGUGAAAUGCGCAGAUAUCAGGAGGAACACCGAUGGCGAAGGCAGCUCGCUGGGACGGUACUGACGCUGAGACGCGAAAGCGUGGGGAGCAAACAGGAUUAGAUACCCUGGUAGUCCACGCCGUAAACGAUGGGCACUAGGUGUGGGAGGUGUCGACUCCUCCCGUGCCGCAGCUAACGCAUUAAGUGCCCCGCCUGGGGAGUACGACCGCAAGGUUA